GACGAACGCUGGCGGCAGGCUUAACACAUGCAAGUCGAACGCCCCGCAAGGGGAGUGGCGCACGGGUGAGUAACGCGUGGAUAUCUGCCUUUUGGUUCGGAAUAACCCCGGGAAACUGGGGCUAAUACCGGAUGGUUCCUACGGGAUAAAGAUUUAUCGCCAAAAGAUGAGUCCGCGUACGAUUAGCUAGUUUGUGAGGUAAUGGCUCACCAAGGCGACGAUCGUUAGCUGGUCUGAGAGGACGAUCAGCCACACUGGGACUGAGACACGGCCCAGACUCCUACGGGAGGCAGCAGUGGGGAAUAUUGGACAAUGGGCGCAAGCCUGAUCCAGCCAUGCCGCGUGAGAGAUGAAGGCCUUCGGGUUGUAAAGCUCUUUCAGAUGGGACGAUGAUGACGGUACCAUCAGAAGAAGCCCCGGCUAACUUCGUGCCAGCAGCCGCCGUAACAC
rnacentral:rRNA from 1 species